rnacentral:rRNA from 1 species
CCUACGGGAGGCAGCAGUGGGGAAUUUUGGACAAUGGGCGCAAGCCUGAUCCAGCAAUGCCGCGUGAGUGAAGAAGGCCUUCGGGUUGUAAAGCUCUUUUGUCAGGGAAGAAACGGUUGGGGCUAAUAUCCUCGGCUAAUGACGGUACCUGAAGAAUAAGCACCGGCUAACUACGUGCCAGCAGCCGCGGUAAUACGUAGGGUGCAAGCGUUAAUCGGAAUUACUGGGCGUAAAGCGUGCGCAGGCGGUUUUGUAAGUCUGUCGUGAAAGCCCCGGGCUUAACCUGGGAAUUGCGAUGGAGACUGCAAGGCUUGAAUCUGGCAGAGGGGGGUAGAAUUCCACGUGUAGCAGUGAAAUGCGUAGAGAUGUGGAGGAACACCGAUGGCGAAGGCAGCCCCCUGGGUCAAGAUUGACGCUCAUGCACGAAAGCGUGGGGAGCAAACAGGAUUAGAUACCCUGGUAGUCCACGCCCUAAACGAUGUCUACUAGUUGUCGGGUCUUAAUUGACUUGGUAACGCAGCUAACGCGUGAGUAGACCGCCUGGGGAGUACGGUGCAAGNUUAAAACUUAAGGAAUUGACGG